CUUCAGUGAUGAUACGAUGACGAGUCGGAUCGAGGCCCGUCUCUGAGGAUUCUGGCUCAGGCUCACGUUCUGUGCGUCUGACUUCAGUUCCUCAGAGAUCACGUGUCCUCUUAGAUUGAAGAUGUAGAGGCAUUUGUCUGAGAAGG
ensembl:snoRNA SNORD15 Small nucleolar RNA SNORD15